GACGAACGCUGGCGGCGUGCUUAACACAUGCAAGUCGAACGGAAAGGCCCUGCUUUUGUGGGGUGCUCGAGUGGCGAACGGGUGAGUAACACGUGAGUAACCUGCCCUUGACUUUGGGAUAACUUCAGGAAACUGGGGCUAAUACCGGAUAGGAGCUCCUGCUGCUUGGUGGGGGUUGGAAAGUUUCGGCGGUUGGGGAUGGACUCGAGGCUUAUCAGCUUGUUGGUGGGGUAGUGGCUUACCAAGGCUUUGACGGGUACCCGGCCUUAGAGGGUGACCGGCCACAUUGCGACUGAGGUAGGCCACAGUCUCCAAUGGAAGGCAGUAGGGGGGAAUAUUGCAGAAUGGGCGUGUGUAAGAUGCAGAAACGCCCCGAGCGUGAGAACGGCCUUCUGGUUGUAAACCGCUUUCUCCGUUGACGAAGCGUGAGUGACGGUAACGUGUAAAGAAGCCCGGGCUAACUACGUG
rnacentral:rRNA from 1 species